GAGUUUCUAUCACUGUUUGGUCUGCUGUGCAGAGGUCGCCCCUUUAUGGAAGGCAUGCAUUCUCCAGUUUGCUACUGUGCCCACCUCAGUACUUCCCUUACUCAGGGAAAAUAAGUGCAUUUGAAGCCAGUCUCUCUUACUUCAGAGGUCAUUUCUAUAAUCACCCGUUUGGAGCAGCAGUGCCCGACAUCGGCAUCUGGGAUCCUGACACGAUUGAUAGAACCGAAUCAAGCAAGACAAUACCACCCCACUUUUAUUCGCUGUGAUUUGCAAGAAAGAGAA
rnacentral:lncRNA from 10 species